rnacentral:rRNA from 1 species
CACACGACCGUACCGCAAACCGACACUGGUGCGCGAGAUGAGUAUUCUAAGGCGCUUGAGAGAACUCAGGAGAAGGAACUCGGCAAAUUGACACCGUAACUUCGGAAGAAGGUGUGCCUUUAGUAGGUGAACCUGUACAAGGGGAGCCCAAUGAGGUUGCAAAAAAUCGGUGGCUGCGACUGUUUAAUAAAAACACAGCACUCUGCAAACACGAAAGUGGACGUAUAGGGUGUGACGCCUGCCCGGUGCUGGAAGAUUAAAUGAUGGGGUGCAAGCUCUUGAUUGAAGUCCCAGUAAACGGCGGCCGUAACAAUAACGGUCCUAAGGUAGCGAAAUUCCUUGUCGGGUAAGUUCCGACCUGCACGAAUGGCGUAACGAUGGCCACACUGUCUCCUCCUGAGACUCAGCGAAGUUGAAAUGUUUGUGAUGAUGCAAUCUCCCCGCGGAAAGACGGAAAGACCCCAUGAACCUUUACUGUAGCUUUGUAUUGGACUUUGAACAGAUCUGUGUAGGAUAGGUGGGAGGCUUUGAAGUGUGGUCGCUAGAUCGCAUGGAGCCAACGUUGAAAUACCACCCUGGUGUGUUUGAGGUUCUAACCUAGGCCCGUAAUCCGGGUCGGGGACAGUGCAUGGUAGGCAGUUUGACUGGGGCGGUCUCCUCCCAAAGCGUAACGGAGGAGUUCGAAGGUACGCUAGGUACGGUCGGACAUCGUGCUAAUAGUGCAAUGGCAUAAGCGUGCUUAACUGCGAGACUGACAAGUCGAGCAGAUGCGAAAGCAGGACAUAGUGAUCCGGUGGUUCUGUAUGGAAGGGCCAUCGCUCAACGGAUAAAAGGUACUCUGGGGAUAACAGGCUGAUACCGCCCAAGAGUUCAUAUCGACGGCGGUGUUUGGCACCUCGAUGUCGGCUCAUCUCAUCCUGGGGCUGUAGCCGGUCCCAAGGGUAUGGCUGUUCGCCAUUUAAAGAGGUACGUGAGCUGGGUUUAAAACGUCGUGAGACAGUUUGGUCCCUAUCUUCCGUGGGCGCUGCAGAUUUGAGGAAGCCUGCUCCUAGUACGAGAGGACCGGAGUGGACACACCUCUGGUGUAUCGGUUGUCACGCCAGUGGCAUUGCCGAGUAGCUAUGUGUGGAAGAGAUAACCGCUGAAAGCAUCUAAGCGGGAAACUCGUUUCAAGAUGAGAUCUGCCGGGGCCUUGAGCCCCCUAAAGAGUCGUUCAAGACCAGGACGUUGAUAGGUCGGGUGUGGAAGCGCAGUAAUGCGUUAAGCUAACCGAUACUAAUUGCUCGUGCGGCUUGACC